rnacentral:rRNA from 1 species
CGAGGGGGGCAAGUGUUGUUCGGAAUCACUGGGCGUAAAGGGAGCGUAGGCGGAUGUUUAAGUCGGGAGUUUAAAACCGGGGCCCAACCCCGGAGCGGCUCCCGAAACUGGGCAUCUUGAAUAGGUCAGAGGCUGGUGGAAUUGGAGGUGUAGCGGUGGAAUGCGUAGAGAUCUCCAAGAACACCUAUUGCGAAGGCAGCCAGCUGGGACCAUAUUGACGCUGAGGCUCGAAAGCAUGGGGAGCAAACAGGAUUAGAUACCCUGGUAGUCCAUGCCGUAAACGAUGAACACUAGGUUUUGGGCUCGUCAACGGUCCAGAGCCGCAGCUAACGCGUUAAGUGUUCCGCCUGGGGAAUACGGUCGCAAGACUG